UACGUAGGGGGCGAGCGUUGUCCGAAGUUACUGGGCGUAAAGAGCGCGUAGGCGGGUCCUUAAGUGAGGGGUGAAAGGUUCAGGGCUCAACCCGGACACUGCCUUUCAUACUGGGGACCUUGAGUGCGGGAGAGGCGAGUGGAAUGGCUGGUGUAGCGGUGAAAUGCGUAGAUAUCAGUCGGAACACCCAUGGCGAAGGCAGCUCGCUGGCCUGCAACUGACGCUGAGGCGCGAAAGCCAGGGGAGCGAACGGG
rnacentral:rRNA from 1 species